rnacentral:rRNA from 1 species
GACGGAGGGUGCAAACGUUGUUCGGAAUCACUGGGCGUAAAGGGCGCGUAGGCGGACUUGUAAGUCGGGAGUGAAAACUCGGGGCUCAACCCCGAGCCUGCUUCCGAAACUGCGAGUCUUGAGGACCGGAGAGGAAAGUGGAAUUCCUAGUGUAGCGGUGGAAUGCGUAGAUAUCGGGAGGAACACCGGUGGCGAAGGCGGCUUCCUGGACCGACUCUGACGCUGAGGCGGCGAAAGCUA